CCAAUAGCGUAUAUUAAAGUUGUUGCAGUUAAAAAGCUCGUAGUUGAAUUUCGGGAUCGACGGGUCGGUCGCGCCUCUGGUGUGUACUGGCCCUGUCGGUUUCUCCCUUCUGACGAACCACGCUGUCAUUAAUUUGGUGUCGUGGGAAAUCAGGCCUGUUACUUUGAAAAAAUUAGAGUGUUUAAAGCAGGCAUUCGCUUGAAUACAUUAGCAUGGAAUAAUGAAAUAGGACGUUUGAUCUUAUUUUGUUGGUUUCUAAGAUCGACGUAAUGAUUAAUAGGGAGAGGUGGGGGCAUUAGUAUUCAAUUGUCAGAGGUGAAAGUCUUGGAUUUAUUGAAGACUAACUACUGCGAAAGCAUUUGCCAAGGAUGGUUUCAUUAAUCAAGAACGAAAGUUAGGGGAUCGAAGACGAUCAGAUACCGUCGUAGUCUUAACCAUAAACUAUGCCGACUAGGGAUCGGAUGAUGUUAAUUUUUUAAUGACUCAUUCGGCGCCUUACG
rnacentral:misc_RNA from 1 species